GGUCAAGUUAUUAAGGGUGCAGGGCGGAUGCCUUGGCACUAGGAGCCGAUGAAGGACGUGAUAAGCUGCGAUAAGCUUCGGGGAGUUGCACGUAAACUUUGAUCCGAAGAUUUCCGAAUGAGGAAACUCACUUAGAGUAAUGUCUAAGUAUCAUUAAGUGAAUACAUAGCUUAAUGAGGGGAACUCAGGGAACUGAAACAUCUAAGUACCUGAAGGAAGAGAAAGAAAUUCGAUUCCGUAAGUAGCGGCGAGCGAACGCGGAUUAGCCCAAACCAAUAAAGUUUUCUUUAUUGGGGUUGCGGACAUAUCAUAACGAAGAGGUAUCGUAAUUGAAGAGGUUUGGAAAGACCCACCACAGAAGGUAAUAGUCCUGUAUGUUAAACGAGAAGACUUUAGAUAUGAUCCAGAGUACCACGGGACACGUGAAACCCUGUGGGAAGCAGGAGGGACCACCCUCCAAGGCUAAAUACUACCUAGUGACCGAUAGCGUAUAGUACCGUGAGGGAAAGGUGAAAAGAACCCCGGGAGGGGAGUGAAAUAGAACCUGAAACCCUGCACUUACAAGCUGUGGAAGCACAUUUCUUGUGUGACCGCGUACUUUUUGUAGAACGGGCCAACGAGUUACGUUAAGUAGCAAGGUUAAGCACUUAAGGUGCGGAGCCGUAGCGAAAGCGAGUUUUAACUGAGCGUUCAGUUACUUGACGUAGACCCGAAACCGGGCGACCUACCCAUGAGCAGGAUGAAGCGAAAGUAAAAUUUCGUGGAGGUCCGAACCCACGAGCGUUGAAAAGCUCGGGGAUGACUUGUGGGUAGCGGUGAAAUUCCAAUCGAGCCCGGAGAUAGCUGGUUCUCCCCGAAAUAGCUUUAGGGCUAGCCUCAAGGUGAGAGAUACGGAGGUAGAGCACUGAAUGUCCUAGGGGGUAUUGCACCUACCGAAGACUAUCAAACUCCGAAUGCCGUCAUCUUAUACUUGGGAGUCAGACUGUGGGUGAUAAGAUUCAUAGUCGAAAGGGCAACAGCCCAGAUCGUCAGCUAAGGUCCCUAAAUGUAAGUUAAGUGGUAAAGGAUGUGGGAUUGCACAGACAACCAGGAUGUUGGCUUAGAAGCAGCCACUCAUUCAAAGAGUGCGUAAUAGCUCACUGGUCGAGUGAUCCUGCGCCGAAGAUUUCCGGGGCUAAAACUUACUACCGAAGCUACGGCAUCAGUAAUGAUGGGUAGGGGAGCUUCCCAUACGGGUUGAAGCAUGACCGUAAGGACAUGUGGACAGUAUGGGAGUGAGAAUGUUGGCAUGAGUAGCGAGAUGUGGGUGAGAAUCCCACAGGCCGUAAACCCAAGGUUUCCAGGGGAAGGUUCGUCCGCCCUGGGUUAGUCGGGACCUAAGCUGAGGCCGAAAGGCGUAGGUGAUGGACAACAGGUUGAUAUUCCUGUACUACCGAUAACCGUUUGAGAGAAGGGAUGACACAGUAGGAUAAGCUAAGCACACUGUUGGUUAUGUGUGCCCAAGCAUUGAGGCAGUCAAAGUAGGCAAAUCCGCUUUGAUAAUGCUGGGAUGUGAUGGGGAGCGAAAUUUAGUAGCGAAGUAGCUGAUUUCACACUGUCAAGAAAAGUCUCUAUCGAGGUUAAAGGUACCCGUACCGCAAACCGACACAGGUG
rnacentral:rRNA from 1 species